rnacentral:rRNA from 1 species
CUCUUGAGAGCGGCGGACGGGUGAGUAAUACCUGGGAAUCUGCCUGAUAGUGGGGGAUAACGUUCGGAAACGGACGCUAAUACCGCAUACGUCCUACGGGAGAAAGCAGGGGAUCUUCGGACCUUGCGCUAUCAGAUGAGCCCAGGUCGGAUUAGCUUGUUGGUGAGGUAAAGGCUCACCAAGGCGACGAUCCGUAACUGGUCUGAGAGGAUGAUCAGUCACACUGGAACUGAGACACGGUCCAGACUCCUACGGGAGGCAGCAGUGGGGAAUAUUGGACAAUGGGCGAAAGCCUGAUCCAGCCAUGCCGCGUGUGUGAAGAAGGUCUUCGGAUUGUAAAGCACUUUAAGUUGGGAGGAAGGGCUGAUGCUUAAUACGUAUCAGUCUUGACGUUACCGACAGAAUAAGCACCGGCUAACUCUGUGCCAGCAGCCGCGGUAAUACAGAGGGUGCAAGCGUUAAUCGGAAUUACUGGGCGUAAAGCGCGCGUAGGUGGCUAAGUAAGAUGGGUGUGAAAUCCCCGGGCUCAACCUGGGA